rnacentral:rRNA from 1 species
UACGAAGGAUGCGAGCGUUAUCCGGAUUUAUUGGGUUUAAAGGGAGCGUAGUCGGUCUUAUAAGUCAGUGGUGAAAUCUCGUUGCUUAACAACGAACGUGCCAUUGAUACUGUAGGACUUGAGUACAGUUGCCGUUGGCGGAAUGUGUCAUGUAGCGGUGAAAUGCAUAGAUAUGACACAGAACACCGAUUGCGAAGGCAGCUGACGAAACUGUAACUGACGCUGAGGCUCGAAAGCGUGGGGAUCAAACAGG